rnacentral:lncRNA from 1 species
GUGCGAGUAUUUAACACUUACGCACCUCCACGUCUGAUCUCGCGCAAUUCAGUACAUAAAAUAUUACGACUUUUGCGAAUUUCCCGAUUUUCCACUCUCGACCCCUUAGCGAACUUCAAGCAAUAUCCGACAAUCCGUUCAUUGGAUUUCUGAACGGAUUGCACCAUCGCGUUCAGCACGACGAGGGCAUCAAAUCUAGCAUUUCGUUUCGUCCGAUUUGAUCUCCGAUUCACGACGAAAUCCAUUCUCUCUCCAAAAGGCCAAAAUGAUGCACAAUUACAUAAGAAACAUGUAUUUUC